CUACGGGGGGCAGCAGUCGAGAAUCUUCCGCAAUGGGCGCAAGCCUGACGGAGCAAUGCCGCGUGAGGGAUGACGGCCCUAGGGUUGUAAACCUCUGUCAGAAGGGACGAAGAACGUGACGGUACCUUCAGAGGAAGCCAUGGCUAACUACGUGCCAGCAGCCGCGGUAAUACGUAGAUGGCGAGCGUUAUUCGGAUUUACUGGGCGUAAAGGGUCCGUAGGGGGUCUGCCAAGUCUGAUGUGAAAUCCUGCGGCUCAACCGCGGAACUGCAUUGGAAACUGGCGGACUAGAGUGUGGAGGGGUGAGCGGAAUUCCUGGUGUAGCGGUGGAAUGCGUAGAUAUCAGGAAGAACACCGGUGGCGAAGGCGGCUCACUGGCGCAUCACUGACCCUGAGGGACGAAAGCGUGGGUAGCAAACAGGAUUAGAUACCCGCGUAGUC
rnacentral:rRNA from 1 species